UUCUUUCUUGCUUUAUUUUGCUCCCGUAUGGCUAAACAGUGGGACGAUUGGAAGGGAAGAAAAUGACAAAUUCAUCUAACAGUCUGGUGGAUUUUGGUUGUAUUCAGUGAAAGAGACAGGGUGCACUUUUAUGGGCUACUCAAACACCAUGAGCAGUGUUUCUGUUCAUGAUGUGAUUUUCUAAACAUCAAACAAAGUGAAUUUACACAAUGAAUUUAUAUAGCCAGCAUGGAAUCUGCCAAAUCAAGACUGUCUUUUAUUGGACUUGGCUCAGACCAUAUACAGGUCUGCUCCAGCUGUUUCUCAUCCCCCUGUCCCACUCAGUGUCUACUGAGAUAUAUUCUUCUUAUGGCAAAGACAGUAGAGUCAGAGAGCAAGCCCAAAUGCAUAAGCACAUUUCAAACCUCUACUUAAGUUAUACCUGUUAAUGUCCCGUCGACCAGAGCAAGUUGCACGGCCAAGUUGAAAGUCAAGGCAUGAACAAGAGGAGAAAACAAAAAUUUGCUGAAAAGUGAUUCCAUCUGCCACAGUGGUUGUUUUGGCUUAUCACUUCAGUUUUUAAAAUUUGAUUACUUAAAUGUAAUCUUACUUAUCUAUAUAUAAAAAUUUAUAACUUGACAAUUUUAUUAAGAAGACUAUCCAAUUGACUAAGUUGGCUAAGUUGCUUAAGAACAAAGGGAAGGCUCACAUAAGCUGUAACUGAUUAACUGAAAUAUCCAAAGAUAGACAAUAUCAAAAGAUAGAUGAUCAUGACUAAUAUAUUCAGUAAACAACUCAUCACUCCAAA